GACAGGAGGCGAUUCGGUCUUUGGGCUUUGGCCUGUCCUCGUCCUUGUGCUCACCGGACUUCACGGGGGGUUCUAGAGCCCCACACUGCCCUUCCACCACCGCUUCACCAACAACACUACCACAGCUGCAGUUUUUGGAGCAUGGCCUCCACAUGGGGGGCACAGGAAUGAGAGCUGUGCGCUGCAAGAACAUAUCUACAUCACUACCACAGGCACCAAGGUCCAAUUUCCCUGUGCUGUGUGGUCCCAGGGUAUUACAAACAGUCACAGUGUCUACACAGUGGACCCAAUAUACCCGGAACAAAAGGAAUGGAGUUCUUCUUUCAGAAAUUAAUUGAAACCAAUUUUAUCUCUUGAGCUAUUGCUGAAAAAAAAAAAAAAAA